UACGGGGGGGGCAAGCGUUGUUCGGAAUUACUGGGCGUAAAGGGCUCGUAGGCGGCCAACUAAGUCAUACGUGAAAUCCCUCGGCUUAACCGGGGAACUGCGUCUGAUACUGGAUGGCUUGAGUUCGGGAGAGGGAUGCGGAAUUCCAGGUGUAGCGGUGAAAUGCGUAGAUAUCUGGAGGAACACCGGUGGCGAAGGCGGCAUCCUGGACCGAUACUGACGCUGAGGAGCGAAAGCCAGGGGAGCAAAACGGGG
rnacentral:rRNA from 1 species